rnacentral:tRNA from 1 species
CUGGGGGCUGCUCAGUGGCAGAACAUUUGCCUAGCAUGCAUGAAGCCCUGGGUUCAACCCCAGCACUCAGG